CAAUACUCCGCCGGCGACCGGCGCACGGGUGCGUAACGCGUAUGCAACCUACCUUUAACAGGGGCAUAACACUGAGAAAUUGGUACUAAUUCCCCAUAACAUUCGAGAAGGCAUUUUCUUGGGUUAAAAACUCCGGUGGUUAAAGAUGGGCAUGCGUUGUAUUAGCUAGUUGGUGAGGUAACGGCUCACCAAGGCAACGAUACAUAGGGGGACUGAGAGGUUAACCCCCCACAUUGGUACUGAGACACGGACCAA
rnacentral:rRNA from 1 species